UCUGGUUUUAUCACAUAAUAGGAAAAUAUAAUAUUAUAAGAUAUCAGAAAUGACUUAAUUUUCAUCUGGUGAAACAGAACUGCUCUGAAGUUGAUUCAAUAAAAUUAGCCUGUGUACGCUCUACCUGGUACAUGAAUCGAGUCAUUUUAAAUGAGUGUGAGCUUCAUAAUGCGGUAGUUGGGCCAGUCUUUCUUUUCAAGUACUAUAAGUGACACUGAAAUGCUAAGUGACUGUCUUGAAGAGCAUUUUUGGACAUCAUGGUUUCAGUUAUUUGAGGAUAGCAGUUGUACUUUGAAAGUGCCUCGCUAGCUUAUAAAUUCUCAGAAUGAUGUUGAUCCUAGCCCAGUGACUGUUCUUACCACAAGUGUUGUCCAUCUGCUGUUGAGAGUGCAGUUGUGAGUCUUCAACUGUACUGACCUCAAAGCGCCUUCACGAUCCUACACUGAGGACUGAAAUCUGAAGUCCGCAGGGAAGUUUGGUGAAUUUGGUCACUUACUUUCUUCAAGGAUAAUAAAGUUGUGUUUUCCAUAAGGAUAUAUUUAUAACUAGUGAGCGGAAACUGAAUCCAGUCCCAGUUUUAAUGCUUUUCCAAUUCAAACGUGUUAUGCAUGUAUGUGUCUCUUUCUAACCCUUCGAGCUUCUCUCUGUGUACGAUUUAGGGUUACAUUCCGAAAAGCAAAUGGGAGAUGGACACUUCUGAGGCAAAGCUAGACAAGUUGGAUGGCUUGAGGACUGGUACUAAAAGGAAACGAGACUGGGAGGCAAUCGCCAGCAGAAUGGAGGACUACCUUCAGCUCCCUGAUGACUACGAAACUCGCGCUUCUGAACCUGGGAAGAAGAGGGUGAGAUGGGCAGACCUGGAAGAAAAGAAGGACGCAGACAGGAAAAGGGCCAUAGGUUUUG
rnacentral:lncRNA from 1 species